ensembl:lncRNA
AGAACAGGUCUCCCUAUGUUGUACAGGUUGGUCUUGAACUCCUGGCCUCAAGUGAUCCUCCCACCUCAGCCCCCUAAAGCGCUGGAAUUACAAGCAUGAGCCACUGUGCCUGCCUUCCCACAGCAUUGCUUCUAAACAAGGAACUCACUUCACAGUAAAAGAAGUGUGGCAAUAGUCCCGUGCUUGUGGAAUUCGCUGUUUUUACCAUGUUUCUCACCAGCCUGAAGCAGCUGGCUUGAUAGAAUUAUAGAAUGACCUUUGGAAGACUGAGUUACAGCACUAGCUAGGUGAUGAUACCUUGCAUGGCUUGGGCAAGGUUCUCUGGAAGGCUCUAUAUGCUCUGAACCAGCUAAUAGCGGGUGCUGUUUCUCCCCUAGCUAGGAUUCUUAGGUCCAGGAAUUGUGGUGUAAAAAUGGGAGUGGCAUUGCUUACUAUUAAGCCCAAUAAUGCACUAGCAACAUUGUCGCUUCUUGUUCCUGUGACUUUAUGCUCUGUUAGCCUAGAGGUCUUAGUUCCAGAGGGAGGAAUGUUUUCACCAAGAGAAACAACAGUGAUCCCAUUGAACAAGAAGUAAAGACGGCCAUCUGGACACUUUGGGCUCCUCAUGCCUCAGAGUCAACAAGUAAAGAAGGGAGUCACAGUGCUGGCUGUGAUUGAUCCUGAUUACCAAGUGGAAACUGGACUGUAUUCCACAAUGGAGACUCUCCAGAAGGGGACCAACUCCCGUACUGGGGACCAGAACUGGUCCCCGGCCUGUUAGGAACCGGACCGCACAGGAGGGGAACAAGUGUUACCGCCUGAACUCCGCCUCCAGUCAGAUCAGCAGCAUAGGUUCACAUAGGAGCGAGAACCCUAUUGUGAACUGCAUAUGCGAGGGAUCCAGCUUGCAAGCUUCUUCUGAGAAUCGGAUGCCUGAAUAUCUGAGGUGGAACAGUUUCAUGCCGAAAUCAUCCUCGGCCCUCCACCUGUCCGUGGAAAAAUUGUCUUCCACAAAACCAGUCCCUGGUGCCAAAAAGGCUGGGGACUGCUGCUCUACAGGACCCUCUGCACUUGCCUGCUCUCCCACUCUCCUCCAGAGAGCUCAUCCAUUUCCUGAGCCUCCAUUCAUUUGAAUCUCUGCUGACUUUUGCAUUUUGAAUUUGCAUCACAAACUCUAGCCCCUUACUCCCAGGCCUGUAUCUUCAGAUGUCUCUGGAUUCUAACCAUUUGAAUGUCCUCAAAUGUAAUGUAUCUCAACCUAAAUAUUCCUGGUGAGUUCAAAUACCCUUAACGAUCCCAUUUUUGACUGUCAGUUACUGAGGCUGAUGAAAUGAUACAUUGCUGGCCAGGCAAGGUGGCUCAUGCCUGUAAUCCCAGCACUUUCGGAGGCCAAGGUGGGAGGUUCACUUGAACCCAGGAAUUCGAGGCCAGCCUGGGCAACAUAGUAAGUAUCUAUUUAAAAAAUGUUUAAAUUAGCCAGAUGUGGUGGCAUGCAUCUGUAGUCCUAGCUAUUCAGGAGGCUGAGACAGGAAGAUCACUUGAUCCCAGGAGUUUGAGGCUGCAGUGAGCCACAUUCAUACCACUGUACUCAGCCUGGGUGACAGAGCAACAUCCUGUCUUUAAAACAAACAAAUAAGCCAGGCACGGUGGCUCACACCUAUAAUCCCAGCACUUUGGGAGGCUGAGGUGGGCAGAUCAUCUGAGGUCAGGAGUUCGAGAUCAGCCUGACCAACAUGAAGAAACCCUAUCUCUACUAAAAAUACAAAAAAAAAGAAAAAAAAAAAAAGCUGUGUGCAGUGGCGCAUGCCUAUAAUCCCAGCUACUCUGGAAGCUGGGGCAGGAGAAUCUCUUCGACCUGGGAGGCAGAAGUUGUGGUAAGCCACGGUCCUACCAUUGCACUCCAGCCUGGGCAACAAGAGCGAAACUCUGUCUCAAAACAAACAAACAAACAAAAAUGCAUUGCAGGCUGUGACUUUACUGCCCAUUAGUUGGCAUGCUGUUCAACAAUUUGUAUCCAUAAGAAAUGGACACAGUUAACUGAUAAGAACUAAAGAAAUUAUCUUUUGUUGCUUGUAUCUUUGUCUUAUGAAUUCCACACCCCACCCCCCUUUUUUAGGAGAAAGUACUUGAGAAGUGAAAAUCAAUAAUUCACUUAGUUUCAGAUUAUUGAGUACUGGACUAUGAAAUGUGAUAUGCUCAUAAGAAAUAUUUAACACCUUUGGUUGCUAAUUAAAACAUUACAAACCUUAUUUCAAUAAGUAUUAGCUAAUACAAUACAGUUCAACUAGAAAAAUAUUUAUAGAAGACAUAUUUUGCAAUAAAAGUAUCUAAGACAGUUUUACCUUCUACUUAUCUGACUUAAAUUAACAAUAGGUAUUUUUCAUAGCAGUUAGAACUGAGUUUCGUAAACAUAGAUUCAUGUUGAUUGCCCUUCAGGUUGUAAUACCUUAGUAAUAUACGCUUAAUGAUAAGUGACCUGAUAAUAGAAUGCCAGACAAUUAAUUUAUGUAUUUUAACAUAUGGCAAACAUUGUGGAUGGGUCAGCAAAAAGGACAUAAAACAGACUCCUUCAAAUAAACAGUAAUUCACAAUUUAACCAAGAAAUUGAAAGUGGCAUCAAAAAUACUGGUACAGGAUUAGUGUGUCAGGUUCAAAACAGUACCCGGUAAGAAUUGUAACAAUUUUCUUAAGAGGAGAGUUUGAGAAGGAGCAUGCGAUAAGUCAGGGACCCCAGGUAAGAAGAGAAGAUUUAAAUAAACUGAGCUCCUCAGCUUGUCCAGAGCUCCUUGCCCU